CUCCUACACCGCCAUCUGCAAGUCCCAGUGAGAAAGGAGGCAGCUCAUCUGCCAUGUCCCAAGUAGGCUCUCUGACCUGCCGGCAAUGCCUCCUAGGGCUGUUUUCCCAUCUUGUCACUUGCUUCCGAGCCAUUUGCCAAAUGCCACUCUUUCUGGUCUCCCUGUCUCCUUCUCUCACCCUCUGGCUUGAGUUUUUGGAAGAGUCCUAUGGGAAGGGUGAGGAGGGUGUUGCCAUGGGACAUAGCAAAUGUCUAACUCAGGUGUAACACCUGUCAUAUUGUACUGAAAUGCUAUCGUGAGUGACCCUUGCCUUCAGGUUCUAAAUUCCUGAUGAUUAAUAUGCAGAUGGUGGUUCAUAGUUCCAACAAGCUGCAUUCUACUGUUUUCAGAGAAAGGAUUCUUGCUUUCUGCCUGCUGCUGGCACUGGAUCUCAGAUUUAAGAAUCUGCCACCAAACAGAUGGCAGUUGGAGAUAUUUGGGAAUUAAAUGCCUCAUUCUAUUAGUCUGAUUCUGGCCUGUUUUAAUUUGGGGAUAUAGCUUAUGUCCACUUGGCCUGUGUUUCUAACAGGUAAAAGUAUCCUAUCUUGUUUAAGUAGAGGAAAAUGAUAUCAAUAUAUUAUGAAGAGAGUGUAUGAAUAUACAUACGCCAUGUAUUAUAUACCUACAGAACUCCAAAUGGAUGCAUCUGGUCUUCAGGGGUCCCCUCAGCUGCGGCAGGAUUGAGGAUAUGGGUGACGUGGGUGCCAGGGAUAGGGUGGGUAUGUAAGGCAGCUCCUCUAGGUUAGAACCAGACAAGAAAUAGUGCAGAAAAGUCUAGGAGGAAACAACAAUUAAAUGCAAAUGUCCUUACACAAUAGCAGAGAAAAUCAUAUAUCUGAGUCCAAGAUGAAACCACCAAUAUUGUAAACUCCCACAGCUUGUCUGAUCUCUUGACUUAGUGUUUUCAUCGAUUGCUUCCAGUCGCUAUGAUUUAAAGUCUGCCAACACAGUAUCUACAGCCAUACUGAAGACUCUUCAAGUUGGGGACCCAUUCUGUUGUUGCAUGUUAAGCAGGAUGUUGGAGCACAGGAUCUAGUUCUAGAGGGACCAGGAGAGGGGUCUAGAGGCUUAGAGGUGAGUUCAUAGCAGAGACACUUUGCAUGUUUCAAGC
rnacentral:lncRNA from 1 species